CAGGACGAACGCUGGCGGCGUGCCUAAUACAUGCAAGUCGAACGGUCUUUCUAUGGAAGCUUGCUUCCACUGAGAAGAUAGUGGCGAACGGGUGAGUAACACGUGGGUAACCUGCCCAUAAGAGGGGGAUAACAUCCGGAAACGGGUGCUAAUACCGCAUAGUUUUCUUGAUCGCAUGAUUGAGAAAGGAAAGACGGCCUUUGUGCUGUCGCUUAUGGAUGGACCCGCGGCGUAUUAGUUAGUUGGUGAGGUAACGGCUCACCAAGACGAUGAUACGUAGCCGACCUGAGAGGGUGAUCGGCCACAUUGGGACUGAGACACGGCCCAAACUCCUACGGGAGGCAGCAGUAGGGAAUCUUCCGCAAUGGACGAAAGUCUGACGGAGCAACGCCGCGUGAGUGAAGAAAGGUUUUCGGAUCGUAAAACUCUGUUGUCAGAGAAGAACAAGUUGGAGAGUAACUGCUCCAGCCUUGACGGUAUCUGACCAGAAAGCCACGGCUAACUACGUGCCAGCCGCCGC
rnacentral:rRNA from 1 species